GGCCAGGUGACGAGUCCCAAAUAGAACGAAAUGCGCAUUAUGGAU
rnacentral:hammerhead_ribozyme from 1 species